AAGGAUCAUUACCCUUUCAAUGCACAAGGAUCGAGCGGGUGUAGGCAACUAUACCCUCUCUCCUUGCUGUAUUACGCCCUUGUUUUUCAAAUUCUAUUUGUUUCCUCGGCGGGGUUUCCCGCCGGUUGGAUAAAACUAUAACCUUUUUAAUUUUCAAUCAGCGUCUGAAAUAAAUUAAUAAUUACAACUUUCAACAACGGAUCUCUUGGUUCUG
rnacentral:misc_RNA from 1 species